AAAUGGUCUGUCUGAGUGUCGGU
rnacentral:rRNA from 1 species